rnacentral:rRNA from 1 species
AACGAACGCUGGCGGCAUGCCUAACACAUGCAAGUCGAACGAGACCUUCGGGUCUAGUGGCGCACGGGUGCGUAACGCGUGGGAACCUGCCCUUAGGUUCGGAAUAACUCCCCGAAAGGGGUGCUAAUACCGGAUAAUGUCUUCGGACCAAAGAUUUAUCGCCUUUGGAUGGGCCCGCGUUGGAUUAGCUAGUUGGUAGGGUAAAAGCCUACCAAGGCGACGAUCCAUAGCUGGUCUGAGAGGAUGAUCAGCCACACUGGGACUGAGACACGGCCCAGACGAAUACGGGAGGCAGCAGUGGGGAAGAGGGGAAGAUGGGCGAAAGGGUGAUACAGCAAGGCCGCGGGAGAGAAGAAGGACUGAGGGUUGUAAAGCUCUUGUACCGAGGAGGGUAAUGGCAGGACCGGGAGAAUAAACAACGGAGAAAUAAGU